ensembl:lncRNA
CAUACGCCGGCGGACACACUUCAGUCUAACUAGUGAACAGUCUGACAGAAAACGUUUGCCAUCACUGAUCUCACCGCAGAUUACUGCUCUUCAGCAGGCAGCUGACUUGCCAAGCUAAAAAGCUGCUUCUCCUUUUGCCAGGUCCAAGACCACUCGGCCACAACAAGCCUGGGCGAGGACGCUUGUCAACACCACGUGCCCUCACCUAACCUUGGUCAGGGCAAGCUGAAGGCCUGCCUGGGGAUGUUCCUGUCUCAAGAAUGACCGAGCUGAAUGCCCACAUCAGGCCCGGUCACCGUAAAGCACUGUGUCUACACUGGGUCAUUCCAGUUCUCUGACCCACAGCCUGAAGCUAGGUGGGGAGUUCUUUACCUGGAGUGUAGAAGUGACUUUGGAAGGGGGGAUGGUUCUGGAAACUUCUCAAAUUUUAUGCAAAACUACAUGCAUUUUUCUGGGGAGAUGGUUUAUCACUUUCCUUCCACUCCCCAAAGAUCCCUGACCGGUAAAGGGUAAGAAUCACAACGGUUUUCAUGAAGGCCCUCAGGGUUUAUCACGGGUCUAUGCAAGGAAUAGCAACAAGCAACAUCUUCCUAUGCCUGGCCUGGUAAAACAAAUAUCAAUGGCCUUAUCAGUGGUAUAUAAACAGUGUGGGGCGAUCCUGAUAAAAGGCCCAAGCAUUUUUCAGAGUUCAGAGGAAGGAAAAAAUCCUCUCUUGAUAAAGUGGAAUCUCCGCUGGAUGUUGAGAACUGGAGAGUCCACGUUGCCUUCCCUGCCUUUUGUUCCCCGCUUAAAAUCUCUUUCAGCCUUGCUAUUUUCAAGCAAAGUUCUUUUGCAAGCUCCAGACUUUCCUCUAGAAUAUCCUUCUGCCCUUUUGGCAUCCUCCACUCAUCCUUCAAGAUCAGUUUUCUCAACAUUUCCGGGCAGGGCUAUGUACCUCACAUAGUCCUGUUAUCACAUAGAUGACUUUUCUAGAAUUAUUUGCAUAUUUAUCUACAAGACUGUGAUCCCAUCAAGGCAGGAACCCAAUUGUAUUAGUUUCCAUAUCCCCAGCACCUAGCACAGAGUAUAAAAAAAAAAAAAGGUUAGAUGGAUGAAUAAAGAAACAGAUCCAUGAAUAAAUGAACAAUCCCCCUGACCACCUUCAUUUCCUAGAUGGGGAAAGUGGCCCUCUGAUAGACACCAGCAUGCCAAUGAGACUGAGCCAGGCAGGGCGUCCCCAGGAGCCACACCCAGGCCAGCUGCAGGCCACUCGGCAGCUGUGUGGGUCUGAGAUCCUGCCGCACCCUCCAGCCUCUUGGCAGUUCUUGCUCCAGCAUGCCACCAUGUCUCACUUUCUCUUCUAUUUUGCUCCUUGGUUCAGAGCACACAGUAGGGAGACACGAACCAGGGGAAUUCAGAGGUAAGAAAUGGUGACUGGCAGAUGCCAGCUGUCCCCCUGGCAGGGUCUGGGAAACCUGAAUCUUCUCUGUGACUCUGUCCUUACCACAGUGAGGACCAAAAUGAGAAACUCUGACUCUUUCAAACUUACUUCACCAGCAGGAUCCUGAGAGCUGAAUUUCAGGCCCAGAAAUGCAUUGUCCAUGAACCUAAACAGCGAAUUUUACUUUGCUUCCUCCCACCGGAAUUAGAUUCACGAGAAGUCUGAUAAAAUCUCCAAACGGCUGCUCCAAGCUCUGCUUGUCCCAGACGCAUGGCAGAAACUGGAAAGAGCUGGGAGGAGGGAAGCCUCGCCAGCUGGUUCUGGUCCUGCCCUGAAGUGGGGGAAAACGCCUCUGAGGGGACCCGUAGGCCCAAACACAGCUGUGGUCAUUACUGAAUCAUUAGACUUGCCACAAACGAGAGAAAAGUUUCAAACAGCGAAGAGGACUUCUCCGUGGUCUGCUGAAUGGGGUUUCUCUUUGUGUUUUGGUUCCUUCUGGUGGCGUGGCCUGGCCUGCAGGGUUUCCUCAAAGCCGCAGGAGCCCCUCAGCCCCUCAUGUUGCCUCUCAGGAGCUCUCCUCAGUGGGGCAAAGGACUUCUUUUUUUUUUUUUAAGAAUUACAGGUCCCUUUUCUGAAGAACACAAAAGCCUACAGAGGAAAACAGGAAUAUUCCAAAUUUAUAACUGGAAAAAGGGAAACCCCGUCACGCAAAUGUUCGCCCGGUUCAGUCGCCCCACCUCUUCCAGAUGUUGGUAGAAAUGGCCCACUUACCUCUCAUCCCACAGUUUUCUGUCCUAAGUCUUAUCCGUCACUCUAUACCCUAGAUCUUUCUGUUCCCUUUCGUACCUACUAAGUGUGUAAUAAAUAUUAAUUGACAGACUAAAGGCAAAUUAAA